CAGGAAAUGAACAUCUCACUGACACCUCUCCUGUCACUUCCUCAGUCACCAACUGAAGCAGAGACUUCCAAACUUCCAUUGGCAACAGAGGAAGCCCAACCUGAUGGAUCUGCAGCACAGAAGCAGGAUCUCCCCAGCCCCAGCAGGAGAAAGAGGCACCAGCCCAGCCCAGCAGCUCAGAGCCAGGGAGCUCCAGGGAGAGCCAGAGUUCUGCAGCCUCUGACAGCUCC